rnacentral:tRNA from 1 species
UGGGGUGUGGCUCAGUGGUAGAGUGCUUACCUAGUAUUCAUGAAGGCCUGGGUUCCAUCCCUAGCACCAUAA